GAUGAACGCUGGCGGCGUGCCUAAUACAUGCAAGUCGAGCGAGAUGUUAGCGCAUGAACCUUCGGGGGAUUAUGCUAACGGAUAGCGGCGGACGGGUGAGUAACGCGUAGGCAACCUGCCCCUGACAGAGGGAUAGCCAUUGGAAACGAUGAUUAAAACCUCAUGACACCGUAGAAGCACAUGCUUCAUCGGUCAAAGAUUUAUCGGUCAGGGAUGGGCCUGCGUCUGAUUAACUAGUUGGUGAGGUAACGGCUCACCAAGGUGACGAUCAGUAGCCGACCUGAGAGGGUGAUCGGCCACAUUGGAACUGAGACACGGUCCAAACUUCUACGGAAGGCAGCAGUAGGGAAUCUUGCACAAUGGGCGAAAGCCUGAUGCAGCAACGCCGCGUGAAGGAUGAAGGCCUUCGGGUUGUAAACUUCUGUUCUAAGGGAAGAAACAAAUGACGGUACCUUAGGAGCAAGCCCCGGCUAACUACGUGCCAGCAGCCGCGGUAAUACGUAGGGGGCAAGCGUUAUCCGGAAUUAUUGGGCGUAAAGAGUGCGUAGGUGGUUACCUAAGCGCAAGGUUUAAUUUAGAGGCUCAACCUCUACUUGCCUUGCGAACUGGGCUACUUGAGUGCAGGAGGGGAAAGCGGAAUUCCUAGUGUAGCGGUGAAAUGCGUAGAUAUUAGGAGGAACACCAGCGGCGAAGACGGCUUUCUGGACUGUAACUGACACUGAGGCACGAAAGCGUGGGUAGCAAACAGG
rnacentral:rRNA from 1 species